GAUGAAGAACGUAGCGAAAUGCGAUAAGUAAUGUGAAUUGCAGAAUUCAGUGAAUCAUCGAAUCUUUGAACGCACAUUGCGCCCGCCAGUAUUCUGGCGGGCAUGCCUGUCCGAGCGUCAUUUCAACCCUCGAACCCCUCCGGGGGGUCGGCGUUGGGGACCUCGGGAGCCCCUAAGACGGGAUCCCGGCCCCGAAAUACGGUGGCGGUCUCGCCGCAGCCUCUCCUGCGCAGUAGUUUGCACAACUCGCACCGGGAGCGCGGCGCGUCCACGUCCGUAAAACACCCAACUUCUGAAAUGUUGACCUCGGAUCAGGUAGGAAUACCCGCUGAACUUAAGCAUAUCAAUAAGCGGAGGA
rnacentral:misc_RNA from 1 species